AAAAAGACAAACCCUGGAUUUCCGUGCCAACAUUUGACCAUCCGUCUUAUAUGAAUUUUUUUUAUAAUUAGUAUUUUCAUUGUUGUUAGAUGAUAAAAUAUGAUUAAUACUUUAUGCGUGACUUAUCUUUUUAAUUUUUUUUCAUAAUUUUUUUAAAUAAGACAGACAGUCAAAUGUUGGACACUGGAACCAGGGUUUGUCUUUUU
rnacentral:pre_miRNA from 1 species